UAGGGAAUAUUGGACAAUGGGGGCAACCCUGAUCCAGCCAUGCCGCGUGAGUGAAGAAGGCCCUCGGGUUGUAAAGCUCUCUUGUCCGGAAAGAAAAGCAUUCGGUGAAUACCCGGAUGUUCUGACGGUACCGGAAGAAUAAGCACCGGCUAACUUCGUGCCAGCAGCCGCGGUAAUACGAAGGGUGCAAGCGUUACUCGGAAUUACUGGGCGUAAAGCGUGCGUAGGUGGUUGUUUAAGUCUGAUGUGAAAGCCCUAGGCUCAACCUGGGAAUGGCAUUGGAAACUGGGCAGCUAGAGUGCGGUAGAGGGUAGUGGAAUUCCCGGUGUAGCAGUGAAAUGCGUAGAGAUCGGGAGGAACAUCUGUGGCGAAGGCGACUGCCUGGACCAGCACUGACACUGAGGCACGAAAGCGUGGGGAGCAAACA
rnacentral:rRNA from 1 species